rnacentral:lncRNA from 1 species
GGGAGGCUAAGGGAGGAGGAUCCCUUGAGAUCAGGAGUUCAAGACCAGCCUGGGCAACAUAGUAAGAUCUUGCCUCUAAGAAAAAAAAAUUUUUUUUGAGAUGAAGUCUCAGUCUGUCACCCAGGCUGGAGUGCGGUGAUGUGAUCUUGGUUCACUGCAACCUCCACCUCCCAGAUUCAAGUGAUUCUCCUGCCUCAGCCUCUAUAGUACCUGGAACUACAGGUGCCCACCACCAAGCUGGCCAGGCUGGUCUCAAACUCCUGAACUUCUGUCCCCUGGGCUGGAAUGCAGUGGCACGAUCUUGGCUCACUGCAACUUCUGCCUCCCUGGUUCAAGUGAUUCUUCUACCUCAGCCUCCUGAAUAUCUAAGAUUCCAGUUGCACACUACCACACCAGGCUAAUUUUUAUAUAUUUUUAGUAGACACUGGGUAUCACCAUGUUGGUCAGGCUGGUCUCAAACUCCUGACCUUGUGAUUGUUUGGUAGAAAGUCCCACCAUCUUUCCCCCAGGUUUCUUGCCCCCACCCUCCCCCCAGGCUUCCUGCUGCCCUGAGAAAUGCCCGCCAAGCCUGCUCUGUUCUGCCCAGCAACAACAAGCAGCCAAUCAUCGCAGCAGGAAAGCCCGCCAAGCCUCGGCCUAUCCUGAACAGACACGUAACCCUCUGAGCCACCUCAGCAGUCUGCCCAGAGACGAACAGCCUAUCCUAAGCUCCUACGACACUCCGCCAGCCCUGUGUCCACGCCCUGUCCACCCCCCCAUAAAACCCUCCUACCCCAGCUGCGCAGUCGCAGCCAGCCCCGAUCUCCUUCCUUUCCUGGCCUGCCCGCUGGUCCCAAUAAACCUGAACUCGGCUUACAACUCUCGAGCUGUUAUUUGGGGUCAGGUACCGGGCAGGGGUCUACAAGGGGGUCGCACAUAUGGUGCCGAAACCCGGGACGGAGGGUCGCUAGACCCCCUAGUGACCCCCUCCCUCCAGCGACCUCCCCAGCCCUCCUCCAAUUCGGCCUCAGCACUCCGGACCAGAACCGAAGAGCCCUGGACCUGCUCACUGCUGAACGAGGAGGGACCUGUAUCUUCCUACAGGAAGAGUGCUGUUACUACAUCAAUGAAUCCGGCCUAGUAGAAACCCGAAUCGAGAGCCUCCAGAAACUCAAAACUAACCUGCAGAGUCAGAAGUUCUCGGCUGAAGCCACGGCGUGUUCCUAUAGCGGCGCUUUCAAGAACUGACUCGAGUCACCAUCCACCAGAUGCUGCUCCAACCCUACCCUGAACGAGUGCAAGAAACAGACCUCUGCCCGAACAUCCAGGCUCAUUAAGAAAAGAGACCUCUUCAGAACCCCCAUCGACCCUUGUCAGCAGGAAGUAGCUAGAGAGACAACCGACGCCCCUGACCCCCUCUUUUUCUUUUCUUUAAGGAGUCGGGAAUGUUUGGAAAACUCUGCCCCUACCGCAAAAUCUCUCUCUCUUUCCCUCCCCCACAAAGAGGCUCCCUUAUCUCUCACUUUACAUACCGGCCCUAGCCCUCCCGCAGCCCAGCUUCCCGCCCAGCAGUUCAAACUGACCAACAGUUGCCCACCACCUCGGCUUUUGGCUUCCCCACCCCCAGCCCUUCAGCCCCCUAUAAAUAACCCUGCCCCUCUGAGCGGCACGGCCAUUCUCCUCUUCCUCCCGGCUGGUCCGCCCGGAGGCUCUUUCCUCUCAAUAAAGCCUGAACUUAAGGAAUUUCCUCUAGCCUGCGGUCCGGUUUUUUCCGAACGAGCUCAGUCUUCCCGCAGAGGGUAGGUCGGACAGUUGGAACUACAGGCAUGUACUACACCUGGCUAAUUUAUUUAUUUUUUAUAUUUAUUUUUUAUCAGGGGAAUGCACAAACACAGUCCCCCACUACCACAAAUUUUGCAGUCCAGUUUCCCACAUUUGGGGAAAUCGCAGGGGUCAGCACAUCCGGAGUGCAAUGGAUAAGCCUCACCCUAGGAAAACCACAUGAUAUACCUUCAUGAUUAUGGUAUCUCCCCUCCAAGGUAAUUUUUGUGUUUUUAGUAGAUAUGGUGUUUCACCAUGUUGACCAGGCUGGUCUCAAAUUCCUGACAUCAGCUUAACCACCCACCUCAGCCUCCCAAAGUGCUGGGAUUACAGGCACAAGUCACCUGGCCCUCCCUCACAUAUAUCUGUUUUUCAAAGCUCUUCACUCUUGGCAUUAUUUAUUUAUUGGAGACAGGGUGUCACUCGGUGGCCCAGGCUGGAGUGCAGUGGCACAAUCACAGCUUACUGCAAACUCCGCCUUCUGGGUUCAAGUGAUUCUCAGGCCUCAGCCUCCUGAGUAACUGAGAUUUCAGGUGCACUUCGGUAAUUUUUGUCAUUUUUUUUAGUAGAGACCGGGUUUCUCGGUGUUAGCCAAGCUGGCCUCAACCUCCUGAUCUCAGGUGAUCCACCCAUCUCGGCUUCCCAAAGUCCU